CAAUAGAAUCGGUUUUCUCAAGGGUGUCGGCACACUCCUAGUAAAGGGGGUGAGGCCGUUUGACGACUUUUGAAUCUUUGAUGUUUGCGGUUGCGUUUGCUAGUCUAAUCGUAGCGAUCCUAUCAUUUGACUCAAAAAAAUAAUCCACCCUUGAGUUAGCGGCUCAGGUGGAUUAUUUUUUUUCUACCUUAUUGGCCGACUCCUUUAUAGGAACCGACUAUUGUAGACCGUUGGUGUUACAGCACCAGCG
rnacentral:sRNA from 1 species